CGCGUAGGUGGUUGUGUAAGUCGGAUGUGAAAUCCCCAGGCUUAACCUGGGAACUGCAUCCGAUACUGCAUGACUCGAGUGCAGCAGAGGGAAACGGAAUUCCUGGUGUAGAGGUGAAAUUCGUAGAUAUCAGGAGGAACACCGGUGGCGAAGGCGGUUUCCUGGGCUGACACUGACACUGAGGCGCGAAAGCGUGGGUAGCAAACAGGAUUAGAUACCCUGGUAGUCCACGCUGUAAACGGUGAGUGCUGGGUGUGGGAGGUGUAAUGCCUUCUGUGCCGAAGCUAACGCGUUAAGCACUCCGCCUGGGGAGUACGGCCGCAAGGUUGAA
rnacentral:rRNA from 1 species